rnacentral:misc_RNA from 1 species
UGAAACUUCUCUUUUUUGUAGUUUACUUUCCGCUCUCUUCUCACGCAACAAACGCAACACACACAGAGGCCAGAGUCUCUGUACUCUCUACUACUACUACUGCUGCUUCCGAUUCCUCAUGCAACUCCUUUAGAGAGACCCAGAAAAAAAGAGAGCUCCUCUUGACACUGAGAUUCAGUGUCUUUUGAUUCUCUCUGCUCAAAAAAGAUUUUCUCUGAUAAAAGCAGAGGAGAGAGAAACAGAGGAUUUAUGUCGUCUGGAUUUGAUCUGUUGACUGGAGCUCCAAAGAAGCUCUGGGUGUCUCUCUGCAUCACUCUCUGCCUCUUCUUCACUUUUUGCAGCCAAUCUUGGUCCCUUCAGAAGUGCCAGAAACAGACUUUUUUUAUUAUUUCUACAAUAUUAAGAUCAAAACGCGAUUGUUCUUGGGUAGAUUGCUUUGAGGAUUGUCUGAGAAAAGAUUUAUCAUUUUCAAUUUUGGGUUUCAGGGAUUUGGGUUUUUCUUGAUACUCGAGCUUGUCAAAGAUUUGAUUUCCUUUCCCUUUUUUUUCCCUUUUCCUUUCUUUUUUGGGUUAAUUUCCUUCUUUGAAUAAGGGGUUCUCUCUAUAAAUUUCAUAUUCAUACAAUGCCAGGCCUUAAAAGGCCAAUUUUGAAUCAAAAUUUGAGUUUUGACAAAGAAGAGAAUAAGAAGAAACCAGGCAUGGAAAACAAUUCGUUGUCCACAAAGAAAGUUCGCAUAAUCUGCGAUGAUCCUGAGGCCACAGACUCCUCCAGCGAUGAAGAUGAAGGACACAUUGACAGACGAAACCGAUUGAUGGGUUCUAAGCGUUUUGUGAGAGAGAUUAACAUCUUACUUCCUCCAAAUGAAUCAAGUGCUGAGAAUUCUUCACAAGAAAAUAAUAACAGUCGAGGCAAAAUCAGAAGUAAUUCUAAGCUCCAUGACAACAAGAGGAAAACUCGAAUUUUGUCCUCUAUCUACAAAGGCGUACGGCGAAGACCGUGGGGGAAGUAUUCAGCUGAGAUUAGAGAUCCAUUUCGAAAGGUACGAUUAUGGCUUGGCACUUACACUAGUGCUGAGGAGGCUGCUGCUGCGUAUAGGAAGAAGAAAGAGGAGUUUGAGAGGAUGAUGGAAGCAGGAAAAUUUAAGAAAUUGUCAAUUGCUUCGAAAGUUGAAUCCGAAGAAUCAAUUGGUUUGUUUUCUUAUCCAUCACCAUCUUCUGUUCUUGAUGUGUCUACAACAACCUCACUCAGUCAUGGAGUUGAAGUUUCAAUCAAAGAAGAGAAAAUUGAGGAGAAGGCAGAGAAGGAAUUCACUGUGGGGAAAAUGGUGGAAGAAAGGCAAUCAAUUUCUGAUUUAUGGGAAGAGUCUUCACUCUCUCCCUCUAUUAGUCAAGAGCUGCUGAGUGGUGAUUACUACUCAGAUAUUGGUAAGUUUUUUGACAGUGUCAAUGAUGCAGAAGAUUUUUCAAUGGAGGUGAUGGAUCUUCCAAUGGAUGGGGUGAUGGAUCUUCCCAACAUUGAGCUUGAGACUCUUGCUUUUGUUGAGGAAUCUCUCAAUUUCAUAUACCCAUAAGUUUUGCAGUUAGGAAUUAUAGGUGGUUUUGGUCUUAUUUUACUAUACAUCGGUGAAGAGAUAUAUUGGAGUUGUCUUUAUUUUGUGUUUGUUAGGGGGGAAAAGAGAGUUCUUGGGGGUAAUUUUUAAAGUUUCUGUGGGAUUUUCAUAGCCAUCCAAGAUUUUUGCAUACUCUAUAAUUCCAAGUCUAUGAGUAAUUUAUUAUAUGGAACUAUGUUAGCUUUGUCUUAUCUAUAAUAGAAGACUUUUUUU